rnacentral:rRNA from 1 species
GCCUACGGGACGCAGCAGUGAGGAAUAUUGGUCAAUGGGCGCAAGCCUGAACCAGCCAAGUCGCGUGAGGGAUGACGGUCCUAUGGAUUGUAAACCUCUUUUGCCGGGGAGCAAGGCCCGCCACGUGUGGCGGGAAGGAGAGUACCCGAAGAAAAAGCAUCGGCUAACUCCGUGCCAGCAGCCGCGGUAAUACGGAGGAUGCGAGCGUUAUCCGGCUUUAUUGGGGUUAAAGGGUGCGUAGGCGGAAGGUUAAGUCAGCGGUCAAAUGUCGGGGCUCAACACCCGCCUGCCGGUGAAACUGGUCU